rnacentral:rRNA from 1 species
UACGGAGGAUGCGAGCGUUAUCCGGAUUUAUUGGGUUUAAAGGGAGCGUAGACGGGAUGUUAAGUCAGCUGUGAAAGUUUGGGGCUCAACCUUAAAAUUGCAGUUGAAACUGGCGUUCUUGAGUGCGGUAGAGGCAGGCGGAAUUUGUGGUGUAGCGGUGAAAUGCUUAGAUAUCACGAAGAACUCCAAUUGCGAAGGCAGCUUGCUGGAGCGUAACUGACGUUGAUGCUCGAAAGUGUGGGUAUCAAACAGG